CUUCAGCUAGCGAGGGGAGGCUACGCACGUCCCCUCUGCUCGCUCUCUUUAACUGGUGAAUCUCAGACCCCGAGCUGAUGUAGGAAUAGAAGAACUGAGUUUCGUGAAAGCUAAGGAAUACAGCACAUAGAAGAACACUUGAAGAACAUGCCAAGGAAUGUUCACGUGCCAGAAAGAUAACCCAGAUGAAGAACAAACACUUUACAGAGGCAUAUCUUUCACGCCGUUCUUCUCAAUAACAGUUUGUUUGAACACUUCGACUCCCCAUCGUAGCCAGAAUUGUUCACUGUGUUCUUCACCCUCGUUUUCUUGUCCCUUCUGAAGAACACCUCAUUCAGCUGUCUCAUCAUUCAUGUGUUCUGGAGACAAGAUUGUGUUUGGGCUGAAGAACAGAUGAACGAAGAUCAGCAGGAGCAAGAACACACAAGUGGAAUGACAAUGCUGCCUCCAGAGGAUGGUGUUCGCGUUCCUGAUUCGUUAUCCUCUUAUCACUCCACACACCUGACUCUCACACAUGACUCCGUAAGCCCCGACUCCAUCUCCAUAAGCCCCUCCCUCAAUUCGAUAAAGUCUGAUCGAGAGUCAGCGGACUCCGCCUAUACCGAGAUGAACUCCACAUCUACUAUCGUAGGUUCCAC